UCACACGGUGAACUAAUGGGA
rnacentral:piRNA from 1 species